rnacentral:rRNA from 1 species
ACGUAGGUGGCAAGCGUUGUCCGGAAUUAUUGGGCGUAAAGCGCGCGCAGGCGGCUUCUUAAGUCCAUCUUAAAAGUGCGGGGCUUAACCCCGUGAUGGGAUGGAAACUGGGAGACUGGAGUAUCGGAGAGGAAAGUGGAAUUCCUAGUGUAGCGGUGAAAUGCGUAGAGAUUAGGAAGAACACCAGUGGCGAAGGCGACUUUCUGGACGACAACUGACGCUGAGGCGCGAAAGCGUGGGGAGCAAACAG